AUUCAGCAGGGCCCCAAGAUCGCACUCCUCUGCACCUCUCUGCUUGGAAGGGAGCGCCAUGCACUGUUCCACACAGAAAGAAGACCUCAGCAGCUGCCCACAUCCUCUCUGAGAACACUUCUUCAUCGCAGCAGCUCAACACAGAUGGUAAGACUCUCUAAUACGAUGCUAUUUCCUGUAAUGAUCCAGAAGUAGAUGAGGAGAGGACCUUCACUCUGUAGCCUCGUUCUAGCAGCCCUUUGACUGUCUCCGCCUUCACUUCAAUAUCCUUUUGCUCCUGCAGAUGAUCAUAAAUAAAAACGAUUUUUUUUUACCACUGGAUGGUGCAAAGCUCAGAAGUAAUUAUCAGCACUGAUAUGAUGCUAAUGAUGUUGAAUCACCCUACUGAAAUCAACUGACGACAAAUCAUGUCAGCCCAUCCAUUUAUAGUAAAUACCACCACAAUUAUCUUUUUUUUUUCUGUUUGGGAUGUGAGACUACCAAAACCCUAGAGAGCAGUUUAUUUAUCCAUAAAUAUCAUCAUGAUAUCUAAGAAUAAGCAUUUAGGGAAAAGGGAAUGGAGACACUGUCAUUAAUAUUUGCAUGAAGCUUGGAUUAAGGUGAAUGAGAGGCAAGUACUUGUCCAAGAAGGGUUUAAGAAACAUGAAGGCUGAUCUCGGCUGAGAUGGAAUUUUGAUUGGUUAAUUCAUUGACUAAUAAUCAGAUUAUGUUAUUAUCGUCAGUAUUAUUAUCAUUACUACUAUUCAUAAAGGCCAAAAAAUUACUUUAAUUAGCAAGAAACAAAGGACAGGAUGAGAGAGAUCACUCACAAUUUUUCCCUUCAAGCGGACUUCCUUGAAAUCCCCUUUGCGUAUGGUAGAUUCUGACUGCAAGGCGAACCAAGAACAGACAAUAUAUCAUCUCAUCUGAAUAUAGAAAACUUGAGUGGCACUGAUUGCCCUAACUGGAUUAAUCCAUUGAUGGGAUCUUGUGCUCACACAUUCAGAGCCGUAAUAAAUAAAAAAAUGAAGAAAAAAAGGUGAACAACAAAUCCAAUAAGGCCAUUAAAGGCAAGGUAUUAUUACGCAAAAAAACUCAAAAUAAAAAUCUUAUUUUGGAAAUAGAAGAUUUCAUAGGCCUGUAAUAAUCAAUAUAAAAAAGGACGGCUAAGCCAGCUUUAUCUUUUUUGGAAGUUAGUUCUGAUCGAUGCCGCUUGGUUUUCUGUCAAGCUAUGCGUUGUUCAAACCAUUUCGUUGUUAUUUGACCACAAUCAUUAAAUUGUGCAUCACCAAGGAAUCCCAUAUUCAGCCUCAUAAUAAUUGCCGGUUUCAAAGCAAAAUGAAUGCAGCUAGAGAACUUAGGCCCAACAUAAGAUCCACGGUAUGUUCCGUUCAAAGCAGAUAACACUGUGGAAUGGCUUCUAGCUAAAGAACAAAGAGAUGAGGGAGGAAAGAGAAGUCGGGGAACAAAAUCAGGAUUAUCUCAUAGAAUUAAUUUAAGCAUAUUUCUAGCAUUACCCAAAUGAAUUUGACUUGUUCAAAGGAAAAAGGGCAAUUUAGUCAAAGAUUAUCAAAAAUAAAAUAAUAAUAUGUAAAUGUCAUGGCCAUUAAUUUUUGCACGGGAUUAUCAACCCAAACAUAUCCUUUAAACCCCUAAACCGCCCUGGCACCUUCCGAUAAAUGUCAACCAGUUAUGGCUCCAUGGGAUAAUCAACUGAGGUAGAGGAAAGUGACAGAGACAAAGGAAGAGAGAUAAGAAAAAAAGAGAAGGCGGUGGACCUCUUCUUCAACAGGUCUUCUUCCUCCUCUCACAGGUUUUUUUUUUUCCCUCUGCAUAAUAAACUUGGAAGGGGAUCAGAUCAACCCUUGGCAGGUGAUCCAGCUGUUACCAAGCCCAAUCCAAAAGAACCUUGGUUCAUAAGAGUUGACCGAUAGUUUUUUCAGAGCAUAACUUGAAAUUUUAUUUACUCUCUAAGCGAUUGGGACUGGUUAACUCAACUCUUAAACCAUCCACAUCACAGCAAGAUAGGGUCAACUUGAAAGCAUUACAGGUCAAUGUAGAGGAAGCCGAAGAGUUGAACAAAGAAUUUUGAAUCAACGUGGUAAGAAAGAGAUCGAAUUAAUGUGGGGGCAAGAACGUGACCUUCUACUGUUUUUUCUUCUUUAAUAGGAUAUUAAAAAAUAUGAAACUAUUAGCAACUGCUAUAUUGAAUUUACUCUAUGAAAAUGAGGAAAUACUAACGAAAGUUGCUAAAUUAUAGGCUCUUCUAGAAGAAAAAACCCACUGCCGCGUUUCGGACCUUACUGAUUUCAUAUGGUUCUGUUCUACAUAAAUCGUCUACCACUGUAGCUGGCGCCUAUUUCACAGGAACAGCUAGAGUUUUGCAUUUAAUGCCUCAUGAGACCGAUUUUCAUAAAAAACUAUGCGAUAGUGUGACUGACGGCCUACGCAGACAGACAUUUUUGUAACCGUAAACAGGCAUGUUACAAGGGACCCAAAAUAAAUAAAUAAUUAAUAACAAACCUACAUCAAUGUAGAAAAACUACCGGAACAGGAACAUUCUUACCUUGGUCUUGGCGCGCUCCUUUUCCAUUGUGUCCUUCCUGAACUUCUCCUUAUGAUAAUCCAUGAUUUUGCAAACAGGAGGCUUUGAAGUUCGUUGGACCUUCAUAUCCGGUGCAAGAUGAAUGAUUCAGAGAAGC
rnacentral:lncRNA from 1 species